CUGGUUGAUYCUGCCAGUAGU
rnacentral:rRNA from 4 species